AGCAAAAACCAAGCGAUUACCGAAACACCUACCAGCAACCUAAUGCACACAGCACCCAAUACGUUUUGUGGGAUAUAGCCUAUCCUACCAACCUCCACCCCAGCCACCACCCAACCCCCAAAACCCAUGGAAGGAGGCUACCUAGAGGCUGCCUGGAUCCACCAAGGCCAUCUGGACCCGCCUCGUGGGACGUGAUAGAUAGAGAAAUACGUUUGAAGUUCUUAAGAGCACGACCGAAUGGGAGGACUGCCUGGACCCUUCAUAUCAGAAACCGAAUAUAGUGACAAGGACGCACUUAGACCAAUUGCUGAAGCACAAAACCACUACAGGAGGUUCUCGGUAGAAGGGGGCUUCGCCUACCUGAAGAAAACACAAGAUGAAGCAACACACCCCACAAAUGAGGCUUCUAAUUAGUAUGUACCUCCUCCUGUUAUCUAGCGUCCCAGCAGAAUUAUCAAAAGCCAGUAACUGAAGGUCUAUCAACCUGCUGCAGUGUGCCUACCCAGAAGCAGUUCCGUGCCUGACAACUCAGCCUGCUGCUCUUCUUAAACAAUGUCCUGAAGCUGAAAUGGCUAGUAUUUUCAAUUAACCACGGAACUGUGCAUCAAGACAGCCUAAAAGUCCUCCUGACAGCUGCCCACCUGCUUGGUUCUUGAUUGAUGAAAGCAUAUCUUUUCAAACUUCUGGGGAAGCCCUACAAGUGACCGAUGUCCUUCAGCCGAUACCCAUGGUACAGAUCUAUGCCUGCCACGCCACGCAUUAAGGUAACUGAAAGUAAACAUUUGUUCUAUCAGCCUUCAUCCUAUUUCUAGUAGUCAUUCCUAUUUUCAGCUGUGAUUUCUCCUGUCAUCCCCUUUCCUAGAAUUCCUAUCUCCCUGUGAGACCCAGUUGAGUGAUUUAGUGUGAAAUAAUGAUAUAAGUGAUCAUACUUUGCUACUUUAAUCGAGUGAUGCUCAAACACAUUGCACAUGAUACUGAAGAGUUGAUACUCUGAGAAAUAUUGCACUGACUGUGUAAAUUUACUCUAACCAAUACCAGUGUUGCAAGCCGAAUACUUUGCAGAUUCGUGUAGGCUGCCACGUUGUGUGCCUGCUCCUAUAGAUCAACAGGGCUGCCCACCUCACUCUGCAAGUGCCAAUCUCGGGGUAGCAUAUCACUGACUGCCAGCGAUGCUCACGCUUGCUUAUAGUGUUCCACUGCAUAGUGUUAUUUUGUGUUGCUCAUUUUAAGUUCUCAAUCUAUUCUUUCAUGCACUUGCGAGGUCCCGUGGGAUAAGUGUUUUGUAAGCUGUGCGGUGAUUGGCCGACACUUAGGGGCGCCUUAUGGGGAAAAAUGCUGAUUGGCUUAGAACUGACUACCAGCUUAGUGACGUGCGCUCUCAUUGGCUCACUCUUGAGCUGCUUCCUUGUGGUUCUAACUGAGCUCUUAUGAGGCUGUAACCUCCGCGCGACACAACUUUCAUUCAUGUAGACAAAAUCGAUAAUUCCUACUGCUCAAGUAGGGAUUUCGACCUUUUUGAAACUUCUG